AGAGUUUGAUCCUGGCUCAGGAUGAACGCUAGCUACAGGCUUAACACAUGCAAGUCGAGGGGAAACGACAUCGAAAGCUUGCUUUUGAUGGGCGUCGACCGGCGCACGGGUGAGUAACGCGUAUCCAACCUGCCCAUCACUUGGGGAUAACCUUGCGAAAGUAAGACUAAUACCCAAUGAUAUCUCUAGAAGGCAUCCGAAAGAGAUUAAAGAUUUAUCGGUGAUGGAUGGGGAUGCGUCUGAUUAGCUUGUUGGCGGGGUAACGGCCACCAAAGCAACGAUCAGUAGGGGUUCUGAGAGGAAGGUCCCCCANAUUGGAACUGAGACACGGUCCAAACUCCGUACGGGAGGCA
rnacentral:rRNA from 1 species